CAGCCGCGCGGUAAUACGUAGGGUGCAAGCGUUAAUCGGAAUUACUGGGCGUAAAGCGUGCGCAGGCGGUUAUAUAAGACAGAUGUGAAAUCCCCGGGCUCAACCUGGGAACUGCAUUUGUGACUGUAUAGCUAGAGUACGGCAGAGGGGGAUGGAAUUCCGCGUGUAGCAAUGAAAUGCGUAGAUAUGCGGAGGAACACCGAUGGCGAAGGCAAUCCCCUGGGCCUGUACUGACGCUCAUGCACGAAAGCGUGGGGAGCAAACAGGAUUAGAUACCCCCGUAGUCCCUGUCUCUUAUACC
rnacentral:rRNA from 1 species